AAGAUAAUUUGAUUAUACAAUGUUCUCAGUCAGGUUAUCCUCCUUUUGUUUAUGAUGGCAGGUUCAUAUAAAAGUAGAGAUCAGUCAAAACUCGAGCAUAAAUCUGUGAGAGUCUGAUGGAGCUUCAUGAUGACAUCAUCAAGGUGUGUUUUCAGGUGGAGCUCUUCAUCUCUCAGCUCGAGUGUGACUUUUCACUUUUCUGAGCCCUGACCACCAGCUGUGACUCAGAGCCAGAAGUGACUCAAGUCCUGAUCCAUGAAGAAGCAGCAGAACCACCACAGGGUGACAUCUCGUACAUCAGGGUUCAAUAUGUUGGUCCAAUCUGCARCURGAACASCUUCAGCUCUUCUGAAGGCUGCCACAAAGUUUAGGAGUGUUUAUUGGGCUUUUCUGGACUAUAACUGGACUGGGCUUUUCCUGCUUGGCCUUCAGAGGAGUUGGACGCCUUUUGCUCUCUCUCCCAAACCUCCCUCUUUUCCCUGCUUUG